CUGAAAAAUCCUUCGCGUUCCACGUUUCUUUCAUUCCGCGAGCGAGUCUUCGAGAUUUCUCGCAGAGAGAAAUUUUGAUGCUCGAGUCUUCAGAAGAAAUGAUUUCACUCUCUCUUCGAAGUCCGAACUCGUCCGUAAGGCGAUAUCAUCCAUAGCGUAAAGCUCUCUCUCCUGGCGAAGGUCUUUGCCUGAAGUUGAACACUGAAGUUCAUUUCUACAAAUGCUGAGUUGCUGAUCGGCGUUCUCUUCUCAGUUGUUUGGUUCCAUUGAAGCGGACCUUGAUUCUACUCAAAGCAAUCUGCCAAAAGUCCGAUCAGACUGCGAGGGAAUCUGCCGGAUGGAAAUCGUACUAGUGCAGGAGUAUGCUGCUGAUUGGACUUACAGAUGCGAAGAAGCUGUCAAUCUUGUCCUCGCUUAUCUGGAUCAUCUCCUCAUUUUGUAUUUUGAGAAUGUUAUAGGGAUACAAAUGGCUUCAAGAAAUGGAUCCCACUGCGCGAGCGUUUCGUACCUAAUGGCUUUGUCCGUGCAUAGGCGUCUUCUGUGGAGAGAUGUAGUCGUGCACGGAUUGUGAUGCUGCAUGUCGAAUCUAUGUGCAGCAUGUAGUGAUUCUGUUAUUGGAUUCCAACCAUGUUGAUGCUGAGGUCCAUGUCCUUGUAUCGAGAGAAUUCCUAAAGGCUAUUGAGAAGAAUGUCUUGGUCAGUGCAGGACGAGUCAACCUCCUCCAAUCUGACCAUUCUAUUUUUUCUCAAGCUGAAAUAUGGAUGUCUUCCAACUUCAAGAUUCAUAACCAAAAGGAAUUUCAUUAAGCAAAAUGUGACUCGUUUUAGGAUGCAUCAAGCAUUGAAGUUGCAGAAUGGCGAGAUCUGGAUGCUUUAUUUCGCAGAUUUAGUCCGCUGUUUUAUUGUCCACUGCGGAAGCAUGAUCUUCAUGUCCAACAAAGGGAUCGAUGGAGUUCAUACGUGGCAUAUAUCUACUGACAACAUUUGGGUCAAGGUAGCAAUGGUUUCAUCAUUUGCCGAUGAACUGAUGAUUCAAACACCAAGGCCAGACUGAAGAUUACUCCUUUCAGAAGCGAGAAAAGGUUCUGAGAGGGCGUGCUUCUGAAACUGAAAGGAAGUCUUCAAAUGACACUGGAGGAAUGAUCUUACUCAUCAAAACUGUAGUGUCAGUGGAACUGCCACGUUGGAAGUGCAAGCAGCAGGUGAUGAAAUCGAUAUCCCACCAAAAAACACGAUCACUGUCAUCGGCGAAGAUGAUCCUGUGAAGGUCAUCAAGAAGGUGAGAAAGUUCAGAAAAUAUGCUGCAAUUUUGAGUGUAGGGCCUGCAAAAGAGGAGAAGAAAGAUGGGAAGAAGGAGAGCAAAGAUGUCAUAAGUCAUCUCCCAAAGACAUGUCGCAAGUGCGAUGUCUGAUGUGUUAUCACCAAAGAUGCUUAUAGUUACAGCUCCACUAUGUGUUUAGGAAAUUAGAUAUGGGUUUAAUUUAUGGGUAAUUUCUUAUCCAUCUACAUUGGCAA